UCUUCAGAUCUCAAAGAGUAAUUUAUUCAUAGAUGGUGCAAAGAAUGCUGUUCUCAUUUUGCAAAAUAGAACGGAGCACACUCAUUUUCUGGUGCUCUUCAGGGAGUGCUCGACUUCUGCCUGAACAAGUAUUAGAGGUGCUGGCUGUGCUCAGAGGCGAAAUCUCAAAGAAGGCCUUCUUCCACUAGGUCACAGGAGACACACACGUCCUCCAGUUGUGGGAGCACAGACUCACACUACAGUGGGUGUGACGAUGAAAAAGCAGAAGACUUGGUCUGGAGUUUUCUGUUUGUCAACCUCACACUUCCUCUGAGUUAGCAGAAGCAGGUG